rnacentral:sRNA from 1 species
UGGAGGAGGAGGCGAGCCGCAGCGCCGCGGCGACGAACCCAGGGAGUUCCAAGAUGAGAUGGGAUUCUCCAACAUGGAAGAUGAUGGCCCAGAAGAGGAGGAGCGUGUGGCUGAGCCUCAACCUAACACCCCUCAAGCUCUACGGUUUGAGGAACUACUGGCCAACCUACUAAAUGAACAACAUCAGAUAGCGAAGGAACUAUUUGAACAGCUGAAGAUGAAGAAAUCUUCAGCCAAACAGCAGAAGGAGGUAGAGAAGGUUAAACCCCAGUGUAAGGAAGUUCAUCAGACCCUGAUUCUGGACCCAGCACAGAGGAAGAGACUCCAGCAGCAGAUGCAGCAGCAUGUUCAGCUCUUGACGCAAAUCCACCUUCUUGCCACCUGCAACCCCAAUCUCAAUCCGGAGGCCAGUAGCACCAGGAUAUGUCUUAAAGAGCUGGGAACCUUUGCACAAAGCUCCAUCGCCCUUCACCAUCAGUACAACCCCAAGUUUCAGACCCUGUUCCAACCCUGUAACUUGAUGGGAGCUAUGCAGCUUAUUGAAGACUUCAGCACACAUGUCAGCAUUGACUGCAGCCCUCAUAAAACUGUCAAGAAGACUGGUAGGAGACAGAUGUGUCAGCUUUAAGUUUUUACUUGUGGUGAGAGGUGGUGGGAAUCUUAUCCCAUAGAUAACUUCCUAGGAUACUUGCCUAGGAAUGGAGGACACAGGACAUUUGUAAUUUCUUUCUUCUCUCUUUUAUCCUCCCUUUGUACUCAUUAUCCAAGUUCUAGAAUUACAUGAUAAUCUCUGGGCCUGGGUAAGGCGUGGAGGCAGUGGACAGUAUAGGAAUAUGGGAGGUAGAGAUCUGAGGCUCAGUGCUAAGAACUGGACUACAGCAAUAUGAGGGCCAAUGAAUUUCCCUGUUUGCCAAAGCAAGUGGCUUGGAUCCUGGCCACAAGCAAGGUUUUCAUGUAUCCAGAGUUACUUCCAGUGUGUUCCCUGAAGGCAAAGAAUCCCCAGGAUAAGAUCCUCUUCACCAAGGCUGAGG